rnacentral:rRNA from 1 species
GACGAACGCUGGCGGCGUGCUUAACACAUGCAAGUCGAACGGAAAGGCCCUGCUUUUGUGGGGUGCUCGAGUGGCGAACGGGUGAGUAACACGUGAGUAACCUGCCCUUGACUUUGGGAUAACUUCAGGAAACUGGGGCUAAUACCGGAUAGGAGCUCCUGCUGCAUGAUGGGGGUUGGAAGGUUUCGGCGGUUGGGGAUGGACUCGCGGCUUAUCAGCUUGUUGGUGGGGUAGUGGCUUACCAAGGCUUUGACGGGUAGCCGGCCUGAGAGGGUGACCGGCCACAUUGGGACUGAGAUACGGCCCAGACUCCUACGGGAGGCAGCAGUGGGGAAUAUUGCACAAUGGGCGGAAGCCUGAUGCAGCAACGCCGCGUGCGGGAUGACGGCCUUCGGGUUGUAAACCGCUUUCGCCUGUGACGAAGCGUGAGUGACGGUAAUGGGUAAAGAAGCACCGGCUAACUACGUG